GACGAACGCUGGCGGCGUGCUUAACACAUGCAAGUCGAACGGACAGGCCCUGCUUUUGUGGGGUGCUCGAGUGGCGAACGGGUGAGUAACACGUGAGUAACCUGCCCUUGACUUUGGGAUAACUUCAGGAAACUGGGGCUAAUACCGGAUAGGAGCUCCUGAUGCAUGGUGGGGGUUGGAAAGUUUCGGCGGUUGGGGAUGGACUCGCGGCUUAUCAGCUUGUUGGUGGGGUAGUGGCUUACCAAGGCUUUGACGGGUAGCCGGCCUGAGAGGGUGACCGGCCACAUUGGGACUGAGAUACGGCCCAGACUCCUACGGGAGGCAGCAGUGGGGAAUAUUGCACAAUGGGCGGAAGCCUGAUGCAGCAACGCCGCGUGCGGGAUGACGGCCUUCGGGUUGUAAACCGCUUUCGCCUGUGACGAAGCGUGAGUGACGGUAAUGGGUAAAGAAGCACCGGCUAACUACGUG
rnacentral:rRNA from 1 species